rnacentral:tRNA from 1 species
UGGGCUAUGGUGUAAUGGUAACACACAAGACUUUGAUUCUUGUAUUCAAGGUUCGAGCCCUUGUAGCCCAA